CGGUUAGCUCAGCUGGUUAGAGCACCUGCCUUACAAGCAGGGGGUCGCAGGUUCGAGUCCUGCACCGC
rnacentral:tRNA from 1 species